rnacentral:miRNA from 1 species
ACUAGUGUAUAGAUCGUCUCU